rnacentral:rRNA from 1 species
GUGGGGGAUAUUGCACAAUGGGGGAAACCCUGAUGCAGCGACGCCGCGUGAAGGAAGACGUACUUCGGUAUGUAAACUUCUAUCAGCAGGGAAGAAGAUGACGGUACCUGACUAAGAAGCCCCGGCUAACUACGUGCCAGCAGCCGCGGUAAUACGUAGGGGGCAAGCGUUAUCCGGAUUUACUGGGUGUAACGGGAGCGUAGACGGUGAAGCAAGUCUGAUGUGAAAACCCGGGGCUCAACUCCGGGAUUGCAUUGGAAACUGUUUUACUUGAGUGCUGGAGGGGCAAGCGGAAUUCCUGGUGUAGCGGUGAAAUGCGUAGAUAUCAGGAAGAACACCGGUGGCGAAGGCGGCUUGCUGGACAGUAACUGACGUUGAGGCUCGAAAGCGUGGGGAGCAAACAGGAUUAGAUACCCGGGUAGUCC